CAGGAGCACGAACGACAUCAACGUGGACACCAGCAAUAGGGAGACCCUUCAAAACAUCGGCAUUGCUUUGAAGAGAGCCGAAGUAGGUGGUCAAAAUGAGCUUACCGAUCUUACCAAGAGUCUCAUAAGCUUCCUUGUAGCUAGCAAGGAUCUCUUGGGGCAAGUCAAGAGUAAGGAUAGGCUCAUCAAUUUGGAUGUACUCUGCACCAGCCUCAGUAAGCUUCUUGAUAAGCUCAACAUAAACGGGUAAAAGCUUGGGCAAGAGUUCAAUAGGCUUAAUGCUAGAACCCUUGGCGGCCUUAGCAAUGAACAAGUAGGUAACGGGACCAACAAGAACAGGGCGAGUGAUGAUACCAGCUUCCUUAGCCUCAAGGAACUCGUCGAGAGCCUUAGUAGAGCUCAACUUGAAGUCAGUCUCCUCAGAAACCUCGGGA